CAGCACCUCAAGUGGUCAGGAUGAUUAUUGGGCCUAAAGCAUCCGUAGCCUGCUUUGUUAGUUUUCGGUUAAAUCCAUAGGCUCAACGUAUGGGCUGCCGGGAAUACUGCAAAGCUAGGGAGUGGGAGAGGUAGACGGUACUCGGUAGGAAGGGGUAAAAUCCUUUGAUCCAUUGAUGACCACCUGUGGCGAAGGCGGUCUACCAGAACACGUCCGACGGUGAGGGAUGAAAGCUGGGGGAGCAAACCGGAUUAGAUACCCGAGUAGUCC
rnacentral:rRNA from 1 species